rnacentral:rRNA from 1 species
UACGUAGGGUGCGAGCGUUAAUCGGAAUUACUGGGCGUAAAGCGUGCGCAGGCGGUUGAUGUAAGAACCGAUGUGAAGUCCCCGGGCUUAACCUGGGAACUGCAUUGGUGACUGCAUUGCUGGAGGUAUGGCAGAGGGGGGUGGAAUUCCACGUGUAGCAGUGAAAUGCGUAGAGAUGGUGGAGGAACACCGAUGGCGAAGGCAGCCCCCUGGGCCGAUACUGACGCCUCAUGCACGAAAGCGUGGGGAGCAAACAGG